UACAGAGGGUGCGAGCGUUAAUCGGAAUUACUGGGCGUAAAGGGCGCGUAGGCGGUUAUAUAAGUUAGAUGUGAAAUCCCUGGGCUUAACCUAGGAACUGCAUCUAAUACUGUAUGACUAGAGUGUAGUAGAGGGUAGUGGAAUUUCCGGUGUAGCGGUGAAAUGCGUAGAUAUCGGAAGGAACACCAGUGGCGAAGGCGGCUACCUGGACUAACACUGACGCUGAGGCGCGAAAGCGUGGGGAUCAAACAGG
rnacentral:rRNA from 1 species